UACGAAGGGGGCUAGCGUUGUUCGGAAUUACUGGGCGUAAAGCGCGCGCAGGCGGUCUUCCAAGUCAGUGGUGAAAGCCCGGAGCUCAACUCCGGAAUUGCCAUUGAAACUGUUAGACUUGAGGAUGAGAGAGGUGAGUGGAAUUCCCAGUGUAGAGGUGAAAUUCGUCGAUAUUGGGAAGAACACCGGUGGCGAAGGCGGCUCACUGGCUCAUUACUGACGCUCAGGCGCGAUAGCGUGGGGAUCAAACAGG
rnacentral:rRNA from 1 species